rnacentral:rRNA from 1 species
AGGUAACCUGCCUUAGAGAUUGGGAUAACCCCGGGAAACCGGAGCUAAUACCGAAUAAUGCAACGAAUCCUUCGGGGUAUGUUGUUAAAGCGGGCUUCGGCUCGCACUUUAAGAUGGGCCUGCGUCCGAUUAGCUUGUUGGUGGGGUAAUGGCCUACCAAGGCUAUGAUCGGUAGCUGGUCUGAGAGGAUGAUCAGCCACACUGGGAUUGAGAUACGGCCCAGACUCCUACGGGAGGCAGCAGUAAGGAAUUUUGCGCAAUGGACGAAAGUCUGACGCAGCAACGCCGCGUGAUCGAUGACGCUUCUAGGAGUGUAAAGAUCUGUCGUGAGGGAAGAAAAACUUGGAUGUAAAUAAUGUUCGAAUUUGACGGUACCUUACAAGAAAGCACCGGCUAACUUCGUGCCAGCAGCCGCGGUAAUACGAGGGGUGCUAGCGUUGUCCGGAAUUACUGGGCGUAAAGGGUCCGUAGGCGUUUUGCCAAGUUGAUCGUUAAAGCCACCGGCUCAACCGGUGAUCUGCGAUCAAAACUGGCAGAAUAGAAUAUGUGAGAGGAAUGUGGAAUUCCUGGUGUAGCGGUGACAUGCGUAGAUAUCAGGAGGAACACCAAUGGCGAAGGCAGCAUUCUGGCACAAUAUUGACGCUGAGGGAC